AAUGGGAUGUGCCAUUCUGUGCGCACAACACUCACGUCCCUUCUGCACGCUUGAAUGCAUGGGACGUGUGCAAAGUGCGAACAUCCCCUCUACGUGCACAAUGCGGGCUCAGGACCUGCGCGAGUCCUAUCGCGUGCAGGUAGGCUGUCCGUGCAUCCUAUCACGUGUAGGCGAGCCAUUCGUGCAUCUAUUAUGCACAAGUAGGUCGUCCGCGUGUCACCUUGUGGGUGGACAGGCGCCGCAAAUUGUGCGUUCACUGUCCACGCAACAAGCCUACAUGGAUAAGCCCAGUGCGCGUGUGGCUUGAACGCGACAUGAGGCCUAUCGACCUACAGGCUAGCUUUCAGUACAUCAACCAAAACACUGCUACCUCGAGCUGUGCGCCGCCACUACCUUGGGCGGGGUGCCACCGCAGUCGGUGGAGGAGGCCCUCCUCCUUUAUUUUUCGUGCCAAACAUCUUUUUCUCCUCUCUCUUUACCAUAUUUUGCCACUUGGCACGAAUCUAACAGUUCUAAAAGUCUAUAAAUUUCCCUCCCCCUUUUCUUUUUCUCCACACUUCCAUUCUUUAAUUUUUUGAAGGUCUAGAGAUAGAGAGAGACAGAGAGAGGGAUAGUAGUCUAGUGAG
rnacentral:lncRNA from 1 species